AACGAACGCUGGCGGCAGGCUUAACACAUGCAAGUCGAGCGCCCCGCAAGGGGAGCGGCAGACGGGUGAGUAACGCGUGGGAACGUACCUUUUGGUUCGGAACAACUCCGGGAAACUGGAGCUAAUACCGGAUACGCCCUAACGGGGAAAGAUUUAUCGCCGAACGAUCGGCCCGCGUCUGAUUAGCUAGUUGGUGAGGUAACGGCUCACCAAGGCGACGAUCAGUAGCUGGUCUGAGAGGAUGAUCAGCCACACUGGGACUGAGACACGGCCCAGACUCCUACGGGAGGCAGCAGUGGGGAAUAGUGGACAAUGGGCGCAAGGCUGAUCCAGCCAUGCCGCGUGAGUGAUGAAGGCAUUAGGGUUGUAAAGCUCUUUUGUCCGGGAAGAUAAUGACGGUACCGGAAGAAUAAGCCCCGGCUAACUUCGUG
rnacentral:rRNA from 1 species